rnacentral:rRNA from 1 species
GACGAACGCUGGCGGCGUGCCUAAUACAUGCAAGUCGAACGCAUUUUCUUUCACCGUAGCUUGCUACACCGAAAGAAAAUGAGUGGCGAACGGGUGAGUAACACGUGGGUAACCUGCCCAUCAGCGGGGGAUAACACUUGGAAACAGGUGCUAAUACCGCAUAAUUCCAUUUACCGCAUGGUAGAUGGGUGAAAGGCGCUUUUGCGUCACUGAUGGAUGGACCCGCGGUGCAUUAGCUAGUUGGUGGGGUAACGGCCUACCAAGGCUGCGAUGCAUAGCCGACCUGAGAGGGUGAUCGGCCACACUGGGACUGAGACACGGCCCAGACUCCUACGGGAGGCAGCAGUAGGGAAUCUUCGGCAAUGGACGCAAGUCUGACCGAGCAACGCCGCGUGAGUGAAGAAGGUUUUCGGACCGUUAAACUCUGUUGUUAGAAAAAGAACAAGGAUGAGAGUGGAAAGUUCAUCCCUUGACGGUAUCUAACCAGAAAGCCACGGCCAACU